GAACAUUUAGUAUAUAGUAUGGUGUAACGAGUGGUUUCACGCUUGAAUUUCUUCCGCUGCGCAUGAAGAAGAAAAAAAUGCAAAUCGGUAUUUUUGCAUUUUGCGUGUACACAGUCAGACAACCAGAGGGCGCACAGUCGAAAGUAUAGCGUUCCGAACAAAAACGCAUCGGCACGCUCCAAGUGUUCCAUAGAAGCGUAAGAAAUAUUUUUCCAAAGGAUUUCGUCCGUAGAAGUUUGCGCAUUAUUUCUCGGCUUUCUGCCUUCACGAAGAAAAUAGGAGGAGGUACAGAAAGAGAGAGAAAGGGAGACAGAGAGAGGGGGAGGAUUUUAUCCCGGACUCAGUCAUGUGCAACAAAGGGGUAUUGAUAUGGACCGUGCUUGUGAAACGGGCCAAUAGCUGUGGCCGCCAUUGUCACCCGUGGCCAGAUCUAUACCAAAGAUAUCUUCUGUAUUCUUCCAACUACAAAUUCCCCUGGUCAAUCUUUUUUUUCUUUUUAACCCCUCUCUUUCCUGUCGCCGUACGUAUCUUUGCACUUUUGGCCACCUUUGUCGGCAAUACGUCGAUUCCAACAUUGAAACAUUAAGCGCGCAUAAAGACUAUCAGGAAACUCCGCUCGAUUUUCGAAAAUUUAAAUUUGGCUUUGAAGUGCCCAUCUUACGUUUAAUAUCGCUAUCAUUGAGAAUUACGAUAUUACAUAAAUAUAAUAUAUUUUGAAUAAAUUUGUAUCGUUAAGAUGAAUAUGUAACUUUGUUAUCGCAUAUUGUACUUAUAUUGUAUUUAUAUUAAUUAAUUUGUGGAAGGUAAAUUUAUAGCAAGUUGAGAAUUAAUUAUUUCAUGAAUUUAAAAGCACGAUUAAAGUUAUGAGAGUAAUUUUUUGUGAUUUUGAAAGUUAAUAUCAAAUAAUAGAAUAAAAUACACGUGGCGUAUAAUUUUCCUUCAAAUUUUGAUUUAUAAAUCUCUUGUACGAUUAAAAACAUAGUAGACACCCUUUGUGCGAGGCUAUGAAGAAAAUAAGAUUAAUGAAAAAGUGGAAAAUAUUCGUAUUAAUUUUGUUUCUUCAAAUUAUCGAGAUAUUUGGAAUAUUUCUCAACUUAGUUAGAAACUGGCGAUUAAUUGGGCCGAUAUCGAUGAAAUAUUUCGUCAGCGCGUGAUAAUAUUUCGAGUUACAUCGAACUUAAUAACCGGUAUGAAUGGUCAGCCCGGUUAAAUCUGUUAUCUGUAUCAACAAUCAUGAAUUAUCAUAACGAAAUCCGUGCAGAAGUGGAUAUUGUUAUGUCCGUGACACGAUAUUCAAAUGAUGAAACAGAUUGUAGGUCAUCGUUGAAUAUUUUAUGAGUUGUUGCGGGAUGGUGAAGUUGAAUUUAUUACAUAAACUUUACACGGACCACGAGCUUACGACAUGAUACUUGAUGUUAAGGUGAUAAUACGGUUCGUUACGCUCUCUACAGAAUUUAUAAUCAUACCCUUGUUCACUUGUGACGCGACACUUUCAUUUCGGAAUAAUAAUUAAAUCUUUCUUGAAAAUUAAAUAUAUUCAAAAUGACAGUUCAAAAUAAUGAAUAAAUUAUAUGUAUUAUGAAA